GGUAACUAAACAUAGAAUUUGCAUUUUAAAAAAUCUCUCACCCAGCCGCCUCACUUCCAUCUGGCCCCAGCAGUGCUCUGAUGGGCACAAGGGCAGUUGACACAGUGAUGUCCCAGGUCUGUGCUCCUUGGCAAGCCCAGGGAGGACACGAGGUUGGCAUCCCACAGCCAGUCUGAAGUUAUGUGAUUGCAGGAAGGUGGUAUCUGGUUCUGAUCUGACUUUCACACUGAGACC